rnacentral:rRNA from 1 species
GACAGAGGGUGCAAACGUUGUUCGGAAUUACUGGGCGUAAAGGGCUCGUAGGCGGCCAACUAAGUCGGAUGUGAGAUCCCCAGGCUCAACUUGGGAACUGCAUCCGAUACUGGAUGGCUUGAAUUCGGGAGAGGGAUGCAGAAUUCCAGGUGUAGCGGUGAAAUGCGUAGAUAUCUGGAGGAAUACCGGUGGCGAAGGCGGCAUCCUGGACCGACAUUGACGCUGAGGAGCGAAAGCUAGGGGAGCAAACGGG